rnacentral:rRNA from 1 species
CCUACGGGUGGCAGCAGUCGAGAAUCAUUCACAAUGGGGGAAACCCUGAUGGUGCGACGCCGCGUGGGGGAAUGAAGGUCUUCGGAUUGUAAACCCCUGUCAUGUGGGAGCAAAUUAAAAAGAUAGUACCACAAGAGGAAGAGACGGCUAACUCUGUGCCAGCAGCCGCGGUAAUACAGAGGUCGCAAGCGUUGUUCGGAAUCACUGGGCGUAAGGCGUGCGUAGGCGGUUUCGUAAGUCGUGUGUGAAAGGCGCGGGCUCAACCCGCGGACGGCACAUGAUACUGCGAGACUAGAGUAAUGGAGGGGGAACCGGAAUUCUCGGUGUAGCAGUGAAAUGCGUAGAUAUCGAGAGGAACACUCGUGGCGAAGGCGGGUUCCUGGACAUUAACUGACGCUGAGGCACGAAGGCCAGGGGAGCGAAAGGGAUUAGAUACCCCAGUAGUC